UUAUCGUUUAUUUGAUAGUACCUUACCACUUGGAUAACCGUGGUAAUUCUAGAGCUAAUACAUGCUAAAAACCCCGACUUCGGAAGGGGUGUGUUUAUUAGAUAAAAAACCAAUGCCCUUCGGGGCUCUUUGGUGAUUCAUGAUAACCUAACGGAUCGCAUGGCCUUGCGCCGGCGACGGUUCAUUCAAAUUUCUGCCCUAUCAACUUUCGAUGGUAAGGUAUUGGCUUACCAUGGUUUCAACGGGUAACGGGGAAUUAGGGUUCGAUUCCGGAGAGGGAGCCUGAGAAACGGCUACCACAUCCAAGGAAGGCAGCAGGCGCGCAAAUUACCCAAUCCCGACACGGGGAGGUAGUGACAAUAAAUACUGAUACAGGGCUCUUUUGGGUCUUGUAAUUGGAAUGAGUACAAUUUAAACCCCUUAACGAGGAACAAUUGGAGGGCAAGUCUGGUGCCAGCAGCCGCGGUAAUUCCAGCUCCAAUAGCGUAUAUUAAAGUUGUUGCAGUUAAAAAGCUCGUAGUUGAAACUUGGGUCUGGCUAGCGGGUCCGCCUCACCGCGUGCACUUGUCCGGCUGGACCUUUCCUUCUGGAGAACCUCAUGCCCUUCACUGGGUGUGUUGGGGAACCAGGACUUUUACUUUGAAAAAAUUAGAGUGUUCAAAGCAGGCCUUUGCUCGAAUACGUUAGCAUGGAAUAAUAGAAUAGGACGUGCGGUCCUAUUUUGUUGGUUUCUAGGAUCGCCGUAAUGAUUAAUAGGGAUAGUCGGGGGCAUCAGUAUUCAAUUGUCAGAGGUGAAAUUCUUGGAUUUAUUGAAGACUAACUACUGCGAAAGCAUUUGCCAAGGAUGUUUUCAUUAAUCAGUGAACGAAAGUUAGGGGAUCGAAGACGAUCAGAUACCGUCGUAGUCUUAACCGUAAACUAUGCCGACUAGGGAUCGGGCGA
rnacentral:rRNA from 1 species